rnacentral:rRNA from 1 species
UACGUAGGGCGCAAGCGUUGUCCGGAAUUAUUGGGCGUAAAGAGCUCGUAGGCGGUCCGUCACGUCUGCCGUGAAAACCCGAGGCUUAACCUCGGGCCUGCGGUGGAUACGGGCGGACUAGAGGUAGGUAGGGGAGAAUGGAAUUCCCGGUGUAGCGGUGAAAUGCGCAGAUAUCAGGAGGAACACCGGUGGCGAAGGCGGGUCUCUGGGCCGAUACUGACGCUGAGGAGCGAAAGCGUGGGGAGCGAACAGG